GAUGAAGAACGCAGCAAAAUGCGAUAAGUAAUGUGAAUUGCAGAAUUCAGUGAAUCAUCGAAUCUUUGAACGCACAUUGCGCCCGCCAGUAUUCUGGCGGGCAUGCCUGUUCGAGCGUCAUUUCAACCCUCAAGCUCAGCUUGGUGUUGGGACUCGCGGUAACCCGCGUUCCCCAAAUCGAUUGGCGGUCACGUCGAGCUUCCAUAGCGUAGUAAUCAUACACCUCGUUACUGGUAAUCGUCGCGGCCACGCCGUAAACCCCCAACUUCUGAAUGUUGACCUCGGAUCAGGUAGGAAUACCCGCUGAACUUAAGCAUAUCAAUAUGCGGAGGA
rnacentral:misc_RNA from 1 species